UUUAAGUACAACCAUAAGUUUCUAUACCUAACUUUAAUUGUUCGUCUUAUUUAAAAUUUUUUAUAAUUAUUAUUUUUAUUGCUAUGAGAUAAUAAAACAUGAAUAGUAAUUUAUGCAUGACUUAUGUUUUUAAUUUUUUUAAAAAAUCUUUUAGAUAAGACGGACGAUCAAAUUUGGACACGAAAAAUCAUUGUUGCACUUAAA
rfam:Oryza glaberrima chromosome 11 Oglab11_0030_12, whole genome shotgun sequence.